CCCAAGGAGGACACCCCGGAGUCCACUGGCUGCUGUGAGCUGUUCCGUGGCAUCUUUUGCUCUGGGUGGAGGCGGAGGCAAGCCAGAGAAAUCCAUCAACUGAGAGAGCAGUUGAGGCUGUGGCAGCUCAGAGAGAAGGAGGAAGAGGAGACAGUGGAGGAGCUGAAGGAAGAGCUCGAGCGAGCCAGAGAGAUAACAGAAAACCUUAAAAGCAUGCUGAAAUGCCAAGAGGAAGAAAUGAGGUGGAGCCAAGAAAAAAACGAAGAAAUGCGGAAAGAGCAGCUAACAGAGAGCCAGAGAAUCCACCAGCUGGCGCUGAAGUGGGAGAAGGAGUCGCAGGAGCUAAAGGAGAAGAUCUUGAAGGAGACAGAGGCAUAUCGAGAGCAAACGGGAAAGCGUAGGAAAAACAAGAGAGGCCAUCAAGCAAAGAGAAGCUAAGGGACUGACUGAGCUGGAGAGGGGGAGGCAAGAGAAGAGCGAAGAGAUGAGGCAGAGGAGAGAGGCUGUGAAGCAGAGGGAAGCUGACUGGCUGAGCUGGAGAGUGGAAAGCCAUGGGAAGGGAGAUGAGGAAGAGGAGAGGGGGGAAGCAAACAUGCGCGCACGCACACGCACACGCACACACACACACACACACAAAUAAAAAUA